AAUCCAUGCCGAGGACAUUUCCACAGGAGAUCCUUAAACCUAUCCGUUGUCUCAAAAAGAGACUACAAUUCUGUUUGUAGAAAAGAGGAUAUUUCACUCCUGAGCUU